rnacentral:rRNA from 1 species
CUUGACUUAAUGUCCCAAUAAGCUUAACCGGAUGCCUUGUAGCUACUCUGAUAAAAUCAGAGUGCUUAAAACGAGCAUAUUGCUUGUAUAUUUGUGCAUAGUAUAGCAAAAUAUGACCUAAGCUAAUAAAGAUGGUGAUUAGCCGUGGUAAUGAUUAAAAGGGAUUGUCGGAGGCAUUUGUAUUUGAAAGUGAGAGGUGAAAUUCUAUGAUCUUUCAAAGACAAACUAGCGCGAAAGCAUUUGCCCAAGUAUGUUUUCAUUAAUCUAGAACGAAAGUUAGAGGUUCGAAGGCGAUUAGAUACCGCCCUAGUUCUAACCAUAAACGAUGCCAACCAACAAUCUUGUAUCGUUUAAUUUAAACGAACAAGGCAGCUUUCGGAAAACUAAAGUAUUUGGGUUCCGGGGGUAGUAUGGUUACAAAGCUGAAACUUAAAGUAAUUGACGGAGUGGCACCACCAGGCGUGGAGCCCGUGGCUUAAUUUGACUCAACACGGGGAAACUUACCAGGCCAGGACAAUUAAAGGAUUGACAGAUUGAUAGCUCUCUCUCGAUAAAUUGGGUGGUGGUGCAUGGCCGUUCUUAGUUGGUGGAGUGAUUUGUCUGGUUAAUUCCGAUAACGAACGAGACUCCGACCAAUUAUUGAUGUAGCCGCAUAAAGAUCAACGAUAGCUUAGGCGUGUCAACGAUCGCGGUUGCAAAAAGAUAUGGGAUUAGCUGUAGUAAACAGCACGAGAUAGAGCAAUAACAGGUCUGUGAUGCCCUUAGAUGUUCUGGGCCGCACACGCGCUACAAUAGCUUAACCAACAAGUUUUCCCUGUUUAAGAACGGGGGUAAACUAAUGAAACUAAGCGGUAGCCGGAAUGGAGAAUUGCAAUUAUUUUUCCUGAACUAGGAAUGCCUAGUAUAUUCGAGUCAACAGCUCGUAUAGAUUACGUCCCUGCCACUUGUACACACCGCCCGUCGCUACUACCGAUCGGAUUUAUUAGUGAAUUUUAAAGACAAGCCUAGCCUGUUUAUACAGGCAUGGUUUGAAAUUAAUGUGAAC